GGCCCAGAGCCGUGUUUACAUAAGACUAUUGGCCCUUCGAAGAGGCAAGACCCUCAUGCCUGCUGGCACACUCACUGCCCAGGAUGCCCCCAUGCUGCUGGGUCCCACUUCUGACUCUCCCAGACAUCUGCUCAGCUCCCACUACUCUAAGCCUGGCCCAGCCUUGCCCUUCCCCUCCUCAGGGUAGCCCCGGGGGCACGCUGCCAGGCUUAGUGUGUACAUCCAGCUCAGUCACUGGCUCCUAGAAUCCUAGGGUGGUAAACAGAGGAAAGAGUCUCAGAGCACAGGGUUUCUGACCCAGAAAGGACCUUGUGACACAGAAAACCAGGGUCAGAAGGGGGUCAAUCAAUCAAUCAAUAAGCACAUUUUACACACCUAUCAGAUGCCAGUCAUAGUGCCAGGGGAGGAGAGAAAACACAAAAAUUAAACAGCCCCUGACUUCAAGGAACAGACAUUCUCUCAAGGGAGACUACAUGGACAGACACAAGAAUAUACAAUAUGGAUAUGGAAAAUAAAUAGGAGGCAAUGGGGGAAGUUCUGGAGAGAAUAAGAAAGGCCUCUUCUAGAAGAUGGCAUCGGAGCUGAGCUUCCAACAGAGCUGGGUAAGAAGUGAAUGGGAGGGAAAGCAAAGCAGGGAUGGGGAGGAUCUUGGCAAAGGAUGGUCAGCCAAGACAAACAAUGCACCAGAGGGGGGAAAGUACAAGAGGUGGUGGGCACAGACUGUGCUGAAAAGACCCUUAGAACAGAGAAUGUCAGAGCUGGGAGGGCCCUUAGAACCCAGGAGGUCAGAGCUGGGAGGGCCCUUAGAACCCAGGAGGUCAGAGCUGGGAGGGCACUUAGAACUAGAGCCAGAAGACCUUUAGAAUAUAAAACUGUAAGGCUAAAAGGGUGUUUAAGAAAUAGACUAUCCAAACACAGUCUUUUCAAACUACCUUAGAGACCAGCUCCUUCCAUGUUACAGGUCAGAAUCUGGGGUCUGACCAGGUGUCUUCUCUGAGGUCACACAGCACAGUUAAAACUCCUCUCAAUGCCAAUCCCCCCAAAACCACUGGACUGAUUGAGGCAGAGGGCAGGGAGGAAAUGAGGGUCCUGCCCCCUGCCCAGAGGGCUCCCCUCUUCUCCCAUAUUUCUCUGUAAACUCUUCUCAUCCAUCUUUCUUCUUCUCAGAAUGACCUAGGCCAAAGGGGCUGCGCCACUGCAAGCAACCUCAAACUCCUGAGUAUUACUGAAUCAGAAUAAAGCGGAAUUGGGACAUGUCCAUCUCUUCAAUAAACACCAGUGAGUUUUUAUUACCUCUAAGAUUAAAUAAAAACUUCUGUUUUUCAUUGAAAGAUCUUACAAACAAGACUCCAGCUUUAUCAUGCAAUAUUUCCAACUUUGUUGAGCUAGAUGAGGUAGUGGAUAGGGCUCAGGAAAACCUGAGUUCAGAUCUAAAUCCAGACACUUAAUGUAUGACACUGGGCAAGCCAUUUCAUCUGUUUACCUCGAUUUCCCUAACUGUAAAAUGGGACUAAUAGCAGCACCUACCUCCUAGGCUUGUUGUGGAGAUCAAAUAAGAUACUAUUUGUAACAUACCUAGCACAUAGUAGGUGUUUAAAAAUACAUAUUUUCACACUUCUCAUCCUCUCUUGCAUGUUUAAUUACUCUCAGCUUGUUUGGAGUUAUUUUUUCUUAUGUGUGAUGCUCUUCUUUAUUUUUCUGGAUAGCACCUAGUGAUUAGUGCUGAAAGUAUUUUUAAAAAUUGAGUAGUGGGGAAAGCCCUGUCUGGAGUUAGGUGAACUCUAUUUUAGUAGAAACCCCAAUGCUAAGUCACUAGGAAACCCUGCGCAAAACAUUUUUUCACUCUGAGAUGAAUUCCCUCAUUCAUAAAAUAAAAGAGUUCUUUAAGGUCCCUUCUAGUUUUAACAUGCCAUGUUCUAAAAUUCAAUGUUCUAAGUCCCCUCCCAGCUCUGACAUCCUGGGCUCUAAGGGUCCUCUCAGCUCUGACAUUCCCUGUUCUAAGGGCCCUCCCAGCUCUGACAUUCUGGGUUCUAAGGGGAGGAGGAGAGCACCAGGUUUUCAGCUCUUUUCCUGCUGUUACAGCUGUUUGUGGCAGCACAACCUUAGAGAUCACAGCCUCUUAGAGGCUGGCCCUUAGAGGAGGUAAGGAAGCCUGCCAGAGCCAUCCCACUCAGCCGGCUGCCAAACCAGGCUGUAGCUGGGGCCCUGGGGAGCCCAUAGAAGGGCUUGGCUGGCAGUCACCCCCUCCUCCUAUCAGUUCACUCUUCCUCCAGUUCUCUGCACCCCAGAGAGAUGCUGAGAAGUUUGAACAAGACGGACAGAGGAGAAGGGUGGGGCUGGGUUCUGUGCUCCAUCUGAAACAAAUCCACCCUGGACAUCCCCAAAAUAACCCAAGGAGCCAUGCUUACGACCUGUACUGCCCAAAAUAGCUGCCAUGAAGGUCGACAAGCAGAGGAAGGGAGGGGAUGAACAAGGGGUUUCUCAGGAGCUGGCUUGAGAAGUCCUCAAUCUUUGGCCUUGGCUUCUCUUCCAAAUUUGCCAGAACAGAGAAAUGUGCCAAAAGACAUGAGUUCGAAUUCUGAGGUCUUUUUCUUUUAUUGUUUUUUUUUUUUCCCAAUUAUACAUGAAUUCUGGCUUCUGAACCAAUAUAGCUGUGUGCUCUGGCCAGGUUUCUGGACUUCCAAGUUUUCCAGAACACAGAGAUGUUCUAAAAGGUAUGAGGUUGAAUUCUGAGGUCUUUUCCCACUGUUUUCUUUUUUUCCUUGGUUACACAUAAAUUCUGGCUUCUGAACCAAUGUAGUUGUGUGCUCUGGCCAGGUUUCUGGACCUCGCAGUGGUCAUGAGUCUCCCUAUAAAAAGGAAUCAAAGCUAUCUGCAUUAUUUGUCUCAAAACCUUGUUCUGAGGCUCAAAUGAGACACAACACCCUCUCCUGACAGCUUCCUCCCUUCUAGGACUCUGUGGUCCCAACACACUAAAUCCCCAGUGUUUCUUUGAGAGCAAGACACUUCAAAUCUCAGCUCGGGGUAUGUUCUCUGACUAGAAUGCUCUCCCUCAUCAGCCCACUGGCUUCUUUCAAAUGCCAGCCAAAGUCUCACCUUCUACAGGAAGCCUUUGCUGACCCAUGCAAUGCUGGUACCUUCCCUCUGUUGAUUAUCUGCCGUAUAUUUUCCUGUAUAUACCUUGUGCGCACAUAGCUGUUUAAACAUUGUCUCCCUCAUUAGAUUGUGAGGGGAUUUUUUUUUUUGGCUUUCUCUGUAGCCCCGGUGUUUAGCACCCUGCCAGGCACAUGGGAGGCACUUAAUAUAUGCUUAAUUCAUCAUAUGAUCAUUUAAACCAUAAUUCCAAAUCCAUUUGUAAGGGACUCUACUGGUAGAGAUGGACAUUUCAAGAGAGCGCCAUCCCUGCUUGAAGUGGCUUUGGUGAGAUCUUGAGAGAGAAGAAAUUCUGCUCUGCUAGUUUUCAGAGAAAAGCUAGAAUUGCUGAAUACACAGCACAGUAAGAGGGAGAAGAUUCUAGCUGUAUUAGCAAUAAGAUCUGUGAUUGUUCAGUCAUUUUAGUCACGUCUGACUCUUUCUGACCCCAUUGGGGGACAAAAAUAAUGAAGCAGUUUGCAUUUUCUUCUUCAGCUCAUUUUAUAGAUGAGGAAACUGAGGCAAAUAAAAAUAAUAAGCAAUAACAGCUCCCAUUUUUGUAGUCUUUUAAGACAUGUGAAGAGCUGUACAUAUAACACUUCAAUUGAGCAUUAUAUAAGACUGAGGCAGAGACUAUUACAGAGAAGGAAAUUAAGGCUGAAAAAUUCAGAGACUUGCCCUAAAUAAUAUAGCUAAGAGCACCUGAUCCAGAUCUUCCUGAUUCCAAGUCUCUUCUCCAUAUUUCAGUACCUUCUUCCUCUUUUCCUAAUAACCCAAGGAUAUUUAAACAUAGUGUCAAACUCAUAGUAGCAGCACAACUACAAUGUAACUGGGAAUUGUUUAAUACAAAAAAAAAAAAAAUACAAUUCAACAUAGAUAAUGUUAAUGUGUAGUUUUCUAAGUCCGCUGCCAGCAAGGAACCAUGUCAAUUGACUGCUGUCACCUUAUAACACUGAAGGUAUACAAUUGCUGUGUUUAUUAGUCACCCUAACUGACUUCCAGCUUCCAAGAAUUCAUCCAGUGCUUCAGCCAGACUUCCUCGAAUCCAGUACACUCUCCCCACCCCAAGCUAUUGUUUCCUGUUUCCUUGUCCUGGAUCCUAAUUCUGUUCACAUUUCAAAGCUUGGCUCACAUCCUACCUUCUCCAAGAAGACUUUGCCAAUCAUAGGACGACAUUUAUUUUAAGUGCUAAAAGGUAUCUUGGAGGGUUUCUAAUACAAUCCCCUCAUUUUAUAGAGAUUGGAGCAAAUAGGUGACUUAUCUACAGUCACACAGGAAAGAAGAGGAAGACCUGAAAUUUCAACCAAGGCCUUCUGACUCCAAACCCAGAACUUUUCCCCUGCAUCAUGAUGGCAGCCACAUUUGAGACCAUAGUGAAUUAUUCCAGGAAGAAAGGAGAACGGAUCCCUCCUGUUUACAAUUUACAAUUUGAUAUAAUAGAAAGAGCCCUAAUCAUAAGCAAAUCAUAGUUUCAAAGGAUCCUGAAGGGGAGCCCUUAAAAGCCAUUGAAUUCAAUCCUUUCUUUUUUAGAGAGGGAAACUGAGGCACAGAGUGAUUAAAUGAUUUGCCUAGGCUCACUAAGAACCUGAGGCUGAAUCUGAAUCUUCCUGAUGAUUCCAAGGCGAGUGCUUCAAUCAUUAUAAUAUAUUGCCUUUCAAAGUAAUUAAGGUUCAAAACCUAGCUUAGCUGGGGUCCAUGAGCAAGUAACUUAUUCUCUCUGAGGUUAUAAAUUAAGGGAGUUGGCCCAAAUGACCUUUCCUUUCCUCUUUCUAACUUAUAAGUUGCAUGGUCUGUGUUAUGUAGCAUAAGAUAGAUGAGUAGUAAUUCACCUCCUAAGAGAAAGAACGGCUCAGGAUUCAGAACGCAGUAAAUGAAGGAAUAUGUUUUGCUUUACUGUCCAUAUUUCAUAUGCCCAUAUUUCUUCCUCAAAAGAAGAAAUGAAAGAAAAUAGAUUUUUUUCACUGAAAAAUUUUAAAAAGGUGAGCCAUGAAGGAGAGAGACUUAGAGUCAAUGAGCUGCCCCACAAGUUUCUCUUCCUGUCUGGGAAACACCACCUUGGCUCACAGCACUUCUAGUUUCCACCUUCUUGCCCUGGAUUGGUGCCCACCUGUCCUUAGAGACAGACAGGCCCAGCAGGAGCCUGGGAAUGGGAGGGCAGAGGAGGGUCUGGAGAGAGAAAACUCAAGCUCAGGGAUUCAGGUUACCGGAAACAGCAAAUCCCCUUGUCACUUCCACUAGAAAUGCCUCCCUCCUGGAGGAACAUCCUGUUCUGAUAGCUCACUGACCCUGACAGCCUAACUCUAGGAGUCUGGUCCCAAGCUCCUGAGACUAGUGGGUAAGGGGAGUUUGCAAACAGAGGUUGGAGCUUGAUCUGAUUGAGGAGGGUGACAAAGCCCUGCCAAGGAUCUGAUGCUACUGGCUAGCUCCUGCCCAGGGACAAUCUACAGUAGACUGAAGUGUCCUGCAAUAUUUAAUGAACCAAAGGGUCAUUCAUUGUUCUGGGAGGGACCUUAGAAAACAGAAUGUCAGAGCUGGGAGGGCUUUUAGAACACAAGAUGUCAGAGCUGGGAGGGCUCUUAGAACCAGGGAUGUCAGAGCUGGGAGGGCCCUUAAAAUCCGGGAUGUCAGAGGUGGGAGGGCCUUAGGAAACCUAUAAUAUGAUCUAUAUCCUAUCAUUUUAUAUAUUAUAAAACAAUAAAAAUGAUUCAUUGAGUUCCUAUGUUGUGUUCAGCACCUACUGAUGUUAUGGAACCAGUUUAGAUUGUGAAGGAAAAAAAGGGAGAGGGAAGGGUUACCUGCAAGUCCAGCACAUCAGCUCUGGGUUCUGCUUUCUCCCACUAACAUCUCCUGGCCACUCUGUGCCUCAGAAAACCUCGGGAGAGGAGUCACCUUAUCUGCUCCUGGGAAUCUCUAGCCUCCUUCACAGUUUAUCUCAAGCACCACCUCCUGCCAGAUGCCUCUCCUUAUCCCCCCUCCUCUUGUGCCUUCCUUUCACCUUACCUGGUCUUAACUCGACAUAUUUUCAUAUACUUGUAUGGAUAUAAUUUAUUUCUCAGCAGAAUGGAGGCUUUGGGGGGGGGCAUCCUGUUUCAGUUUCACAUUCAUAUGAAAUCCAUAUUUUCAAGCACCUAGUACGUGGUAGCUGCUUUAUGCUCACUGUUUUUAAAAAAUGGAAAGAACAAAAAAAAUCAUGCAACUGAAAGAUAUGUAAUUAUAAUGAUCAAACAUGGCCCCAGAGAAGAGAUGGGCAAAAUGCUCCUCCCUCCCUUCUCUGAAGAAGUAAGGAAUUAUGGGUGUAGAACUUUGUAUACACUUGUCAGACUCCAUUGACAUGUUGGAUUAGUUUUCUUGAACCGAUUUUUUUUCCCAUUUAAAAACAACAAUCUGUUACACGGAUUGGCUCAGUAGGAAGCAGGGAGGGAGGAAGAAUACAUUUGGAAAAAGACGGUAAUGUAAAAAUAAGAGAGCAAUACAAACUUUUAAACAUAGAUGAAAAGAUAAAAUAUCCAUUAAGUACUUAAUACGCGCAGAUUGAUUAAUCUUGUCCCAGUUUAGAAGCAUCCCCCUCCUCCUCUGGAAGAUCUCCCAGCACAGGUAGCCCCAUCAAGAGUUUCAGGGCAGUGCUCAAGGCCCCUCUUCCCUGCUCUGGCCCAUCAAUGUCCAGGCAUCUCAGUCCCAAGGCUAGGGGAGGGGGAAAAGGAAUGGUCCAAGGUGGUGGAGGUGAAACAUCGUCUCCUUUGUUAUCAGAGGUUCCAGACGGGGCCUGCUCACAUGGGCGAUGUGCCAGGGCUGGGGACUUGAGCCAAGUGCAGACAGCUUGCUUGGCGCCCAGAUACUAAUGCUGUGGGGCGGGCAGGCUGCCCACUGACCCCCGUCACAACAAUCCCUAAUCUCCACUCUGCCCAGGGCCAAGGCAUGUCAUGUUAGGGCUCGGGAGGGCUAUGGGAAUGGGGCCUCCUCAUGGGGCAAGCCUCCUCCCUUGCCCCCAGCCCCUUCCAGGAAACUGGGAGUGGGAGGUUGGGGGAAUUCCUGCGUACCCCAGCUGUGGUGCAGCAGAGCCCGGGGAGGGGCCGGCUGGUUGGGUGGGGAUGGCUCCGAAUUCCAGGAGAGGCCUGCUUGCCUGCCUGCCUUAGGGGGUGGCCGGUCACAGGGUUUGAAAAGCUACGGCCAAGGCAGGGGAGAAGGUGGGGGAAAGAAUUCCACGCCAGCUGCCGCCUGCCUUCAGCUGUUAGGGGGAGAUGAACAAAGCAGAAUCUCUGGACCCUGUUCCACGUUAAAGCGGGGCAGGUCCUUAGCCUGUGGUACCUCAGAACACUGGAAGGGGAAGGGACAGAAGCAGAGUCUUAGAGUGGGAAUGGCCGGAGGAGGGCAGCUGGUCCAUUACUGACCUGACCAGAACAUUCUCCUACCACAUCUCCCCAAAGCAGUCAUUCAGCCUUUAUCUGAUGGCCUCCAGUGAGUGUAGGUAUCGAAGUGCACAGAGUGCUGGGCCUGGAGUCAGGAAAACUCCUCUUCCUGAGUUCAAAUCCAGCCUGAGACACUUACUAGCCGUGGGACCCUGAGCAGGUUACUUAGUCCUGUCUGCCUCAGUUUCCUCAUCUGUAAAAUGAGUCCGAGAAGGAAAUGGCAAAUCAUUCCAUUGUCUCCACCUAGAAAACCUAAACGGGGUCACGGAGAGCCAGACACAACUGAAAAACAACUAAAAUAAAAGUUGGGAAUCGGCAACCAGGACCUUCCAGGACUUAUCAUUUUGGGGUAGCUGUAAUUAUUAGGAAGGACUUGGUGAUAUCAAACUUAUUUUGCAAAAUAAUAACAGUUACUACCAUCAAUAGCAGCCAGAAUUUAGAAAAGACUUCAAAGUUUGCAAAGCUCUUUACAAACAUUCUCUCACUUAAUUCUCACAACUCUGAAUGCAGGUGUUCCUACUUCCAUUACUAUCCCCAUUUUUUAGAUUUGGAAACAAAUCUUACUCUAAAUCUAGAGGCAGAGAUUAAUUGACUUGUCUAGAGUCAUAUAUCAAAUAGAGUCUAGGGUCUGGGAGAAUGGAUUUGAAUUUGUCUUCCCGACUAUUCAGUGCCCCCAGGCCUGUCCUUUAAGACUAAACAAAUUUAAUUUUCCAUGCACAAUGUCAGCCCUUUAAAUUCUAAAAUUUAGAAUUUUUUCUAAAUGAAAAGUUUUUUUCAAUUUAAUUUUUUUUUCAAUUAAUAAAAUUAUUUUCAAUUAAAGUUUUAAUUAGACUCUAUAACAAUAGACCUUUCUGAUAACAUAAUAGAAUAAUAUAAUCUAUUUUAAUAACAAUAAUAUUAUCUCAAGUUUAUGUAGUGCUCUACAUUUGAAGAUGCUUUACAUAUGUUAUCUCAUUUGAUCUUCACAGUAAUUUUAUGAGAUAAGUGUUACUAUUAUCCCCACUUUAUAGAUGAAGAAACUGAGGCUAAGUUUAAGUGACUUGUAUAGAGUCAUGCAGUGAUGGGUAUUUCUGAGGUAAGAUUUGCACUCAGGUCUUCCCAGUUCUAUUUCAUGUCAUUUAUCACUAGUCUGCACAGGUAGGUGGCAUGAAAGAUAGAGUGCCAGGCCUGCAUUCAGAUUUAUUUUCCUGAAUUCAAAUCCAGCCUCAGCCAUUUAGUAGCUGUGCUACCCUGGGAGAAUCACUUAACUCUGUUUGCCUUACUUUCCUAAUCUAUAAAAUGAUCUAAAGAAAGAUAUGAUAAAUCACUCCAAUAUCUUGGCUAAGAAAACCAAAUGGAGUCCCAGAGAGUUGAAAAAUGACCAAACAACCACCAAAAUCCACUGUUCUAUCCUGUUGUCAAUCAUCUAGUGCAUUACCUUCCCUUUCUGUUUUGCUCACUUAAAUCUGUUUGCCUUAUUUUCCUAAUCCAUAAAAUGGUUUAGAGAAAGAAGUAAUAAAUCACUCCAGUAUCUUGGCUAAGAAAACCAAAUGGGGUCCAAUUUGCAAAUGAAAUAUCUGUACCUUUAUUGAAAUCAUUGCUCAAAAGGUGAAAACAAUUGGCCAAGGAAGACGCCUCCUUGGAUGAUGACUUUUAACUCCCUUCCGUCACUUCCUCCCCACUCCAUCGGGUACUAAUUUGAGAUGUGCAGUACAAAUGGCUUCAUCUUUUCUACAAAGAUGGCAUAGCUUCUCUCAGUUAACGGCACUCUCCCCAUUAUACUAGUCUACUAUGCCAAAAAAGGAAAUGAGGUUAAUCUGGGCAUGACCCAUGCUUAAUAAAGCCAAGCUGACACUCUAUUAUCACUGCUUCCUUUUCUAGAUGUUCAGUAACCGUCCCUUUAAUAGUCUGUUCUGGAAUUUUGUCAAGAAUCAAAGUCCAACUCACUGCCUGCUCCUUUGCCUUUUUUGAAACUGAAGACAGCAUUUGUCCUUCUUCCAUCCCGUGACAACUCUCCAAGGUCUUUCAAAGGGCACUGAUAGCGGCUCUACAAUACCUGCCAAUUUUCUCAGUAUAGUUUUUGGGUCUGUGACCUGAACUUCUUGAGGGCAGCUGGGCACUCUCUUACACUCUAUUUAUUUUAGCUUCCAGUUGCUUCAUGGCCAUUUUUAUUCUCCCUCUCCCAUCUAGAGUCCACCCCCAUCCUCCUACCCCUGGAGGUCUUAUCUCUUAUCUCUUCUUUGAUCUUCCUCUUUUCUCCAAAAUAGAAUUAAAAAAAAACAAACCACCAAAAUCCUUUUUGGGUAUCCUUGGCAUUCCUUAGGAGCCUCAGCUCAAUCUGAGCUAUGCCCCAUCUGUCCCUUGUUCUAGGGAGCACCACCGAGUGACAACCGUCCUCUACUGACAAAGCUUGUUCCAGUUUUGGACAGUACAAAGGAUAGUGUGACCUAGUGGACAGAGUCAAGUGAAAAUCAGAUAGAUCCGAGUUCAUACUGGCUGGUAACCACAGGCCAAUAACUUCUCAAAAGCCUAGACAAAUCUCUGUGAUUUUAAUGAGAGGAAAGAGGGGAGGGGAAGGGAGAGGGCUAGAUUCUGCCCUUGGGCUAAGGCAAACCUCAUUCCUUCCUCUGCCCCUGCCGGACUCCCAGGAGUCUUUUUUGGGGUCAAGGAAGAAGCCCCAACCUCACGUUUCCCUGUCAGGACAGGGUUACAGGGCACUAAUCAUCAUUUGGAGGUCCACAUUCCUUCCUUAAUGGUAGAUUGAGGGCCUCCCUCCUGUCAGCAAGUAUUCAGGACCUCUUUCCUUUAUCUCUUGGGGUAGGGAAGGGAGGGACCCAACUGGGAAGGGAUGAGUAGGAUGAAGAAUUAUUAUUCCCCCCCUUCCCCAGGGCCGGUCCUGGAAGCUCUGACAGCCACACCAAACCGGCCUGGCAACAGCCUCCCUGCUGGGCUCAGCCGCUUUUGGCCUUCCAUCUCCUUAUAAAGCAGCUGCCCUGGUGCUUUUUUCUCUUAGCACAGUUUAAUUUUAUACAGAGCAAAGGCACUCUUCAGUCCCUUCUGCCUCACCCUGCCCCGCUGAAUACAUUCCUCCCAGAUCAACAUUACCUAAUUUAACCAUGGUCCCCGAGCCCUGGGCUCUCUCAAAAUAGCAGCUGCCAAAGGGGGAAAAUACCCUAAUGCUAUCAAAAUAAACAAUCUCCCCACUCCCUGGCCUGCCCUUAGUCUGCCUGGCCUGGCCUGGCCUUGCUUGGGAGGAGGCCCCAGGGCCCUAAUUUGAGGGGAACCAAGAAGAAAACUCAAGUCCUGUUUUGUACAUCUUGCCUAGUUCUUCUGCCGCCAUUUCUGGUAAGCAGAGAGCUCCAUCAGCUCAGGACCUCUUUCCAUAACUUCCUCUGCCUUCCCUCCCUUCUACUUGCCUCAUUCAUCUCCUGGGGGGGGGGGUAUCCAUCUAAUCCUGAUAGCUAUGAACAUGGCCCUUCACCCAAGCCUUUGAAUACUAACUGUUCAGCCAAGGUCAGUCCUAGGAGAAUCACAAAAUAUCAGAGCUAGGAUAGGAAAACAUUUAUUAUUAUUAUUAUUAUUUGAUCAUCACAUAAUCUUGCUGUUGCCAUGUCCAUUGUUCUUUUGAUUCUACUCACUUCCUUAGCAUCAAUUCAUGUACAUCUCUCCAGACCUUUCUGAAAUCAUCUUCCUGAUCAUUUCUUAUUCCAUCACAUUCAUAUACCAUCACUUAUUCAGCCAUUCUCCAACUUAUGGGCAUCCACUCAGCUUCCAGCUUCUGGCCACUACAAAGAGGGCUUCCACAAGCAUUCUUGCACAAGUGGGUCCCUUUCCCUCUCUUGUGAUCUCCUUGGGAUACAGUCUGGAUCAAAGAGUAUGCAGUUUGAUAGCCCUUUGGGCAUAAGAACAAGCAUUUAUUAAGCACCUACUAUGUAUCUGGCUCUGAGCUAUAUUCUUUACAAAUAUUAUCUUUGCUCUAAGGAGUGUCCUUAGGAUAUAGAAUGUCAGAGCCAGAAGGGGGUCCUGGAGUAGGGGUACUCAUGGAUUGAUUUCAAGGGGAUCUAUAAGCAUGGAUGGAGAAGAAAAAGGACAUGUUAACUGGAAUACUACUGAUAUUCUUUGCAAUCCUGUGGAUUUUUAUUAUAUGCAUCUAAUAACAUUACUCAGAGAAGGGGUCCCUAAGUGGCCCCAAACCAACGAAGGAGUGAGUCCACGACAUAACAAAGGUUCGGAAUUCCUGCCUCAGAGCACAGAGUGUCAUGGCGGAAAGUAGGAUCACCGCCCACUGCUAGUCCCUUCUAUCCUAAGAAUCAUCUUUCACUUAUACAUUUGUGUGUCAGAAGAGUAUAUCAUUGUCUCCUCUGAUAGAAUAUAAGCUCAUUGGAGGCAGGGGUAAUUUUGGGUUUUUUUCUUUGCAUUCCUGGCACCUAUCACAAUGCCUGACAUAGGCAGGUGCUUAAUAAAUGCUUGCUUUCCUCCUGGCUCUGCUUCUGACUUGCCAAGCUUCACCACCAUCCAUCAGCCUCACCAUGGAACUUCCCACUGGUAUACUGGCCCCCUUUUUCCAUUGGUGAUCUCUUCCCAGGGCCUCCACUUUGGAGAACGACUAACCUUUUUUUCCUCCUGGCUUUGCUUCUGACUUUCUGACCAUGCCCACUUCUAUGUCUCCACCACCAUUCCCCACAACCCCUUUUUCUUGUGUAUACCAAAGGUUUAACACAGUAACAUAGCUGGAGAUUAAUAAAUGUUUACUGACUUUAUGCUCAUAAGAUGGCAAGAUACUCAAAAGCAGGGAUUGUCUUUCUUUUUUUUGCUUGGGUUGAUCAUUCCGAUACUUAGCACAGUGCCUGAUAUAUAGUCAGUGCUUGAUAAAUGUUUGUUGCCUUGUUCAUUGAUUAAUCAUUAAGAGCUGGAAGAGUCCUUAGGGCAUUGCCUAUGAGAGCUUAGAGGGAUUUUAGAACAGGGAAUGUUAGAAUUUAAUUCAUCAGAGAAUUGAAAUCUUAGGACAUUAGAACUAAAAGGGACCUUACACACCGCCUAAUUCCUGCAUUUUGCUGCUAAGGACACUGAGGCCAAUGAACAAAUAGCUCAUCCAAGAUCAUAUCAAUCCUUCAGUAAACAGGGAUCUCACUGAAACUCAGUCACUCCUCCUGAAACCUGGGUUCCUCUGGAAAAUUCUCCACUGGGAUGAUCUAGGCAGAGCUGUUCCUACAUGACAGGCCCAUUUCCCUAGCCAGUCAUCCAUCUCUUUGCAUCCUUAUCUUUCUGGCAAUAUUUGCCCAUCCCCACCCCAGCCUCCCUUCCCCCUCCCUCCCCUCUUCUUCUGUCUCUCUCUCUCCUGUGUGUGUGUGUAUGUGUGUGUGUUUCCUCUCUCUCUCUGUCUCUGUGUGUGUGUGUGUGUGUGUGUCUCUGUCUCUCUCUCUCUGUCUGUCUGUAUCUCUCUCUCUCUCUCUCUCUCUCUCUCUCUGUCUCUCUGUGCCUCUGUG
rnacentral:lncRNA from 1 species